rnacentral:misc_RNA from 1 species
UUCACUUUAAUGUCUCUCUUUCCUUAAAGGAAGCAUAAAAAGUUAAAAAAUACACUAUUAAUUGAGACAAAGAUGACUGUUCAAUGUUCAAUUAUUCAUACACCAUUUGUACUGUUAAGAAAGUAACAUGAUAAUGCUAUGCUCAAGUUCUCAGGCAAGGAGGAUUCUACUCAAGGAUCUGCCACCAAGAAUAGAAACAUAGAAGAAUGUUCAAG